UAGAUGGCUUAGUUGCGUGGACUUGUGGAUAAUCCAUAUUGGUAUAAUGACUGCCGUGGUACAUAGAUCACCUUCUGUCGUGGUACAUAUAUACCAUUUGUUGGCGUACAUAUAGGACGUUUUGUCAUGGUCCAUAGAAAACUUGUCGUGAUAUAUCACUUUUUGUUGUGGUACAGAUUACGAUGGUAAUUUGUACCAUGCCAAAUGGUAAUUUCACUUGGACGUAAAUGUUAUUUUUUGUGUACGGAGGGUUUUGAUUUUUGUAUGAUA